rnacentral:rRNA from 1 species
UGCGUAGGCGGACUAAUAAGUCAGUGGUGAAAUCUCUCGGCUCAACCGGGAAACUGCCAUUGAUACUGUUAGUCUUGAGUUCGGUUGAGGUAGGCGGAAUGUGUAAUGUAGCGGUGAAAUGCUUAGAUAUUACACAGAACACCAAUCGCGUAGGCAGCUUACUAGACCGACACUGACGCUGAGGCACGAAAGCGUGGGUAGCGAACAGGAUUAGAUACCCUGGUAGUCC